GUGGGAAAAACCACACUUCCCAGAGUGCACCGCAACCGCGAAGGCCUCACUACCGGCGUCCGCUCGCCGGCGCCAUUUCUGGAGAGGGGGACGGCGGUGCGGCCUGCCGUCAUGGCGCUGUUCCCGGCCUUUGCAGGCAUUGGUGAGGCUUCCGGUAGCGGCAGCGCCAGGAAAGAAUUAGACUGGCUGAGCAACCCAAGCUUUUGUGCUGGAGCCAUAACCUCUCUGAGCCAACAAACUGAAGGGGCCACAGCCCUGGUUUCUGAAGGGUCACCUCUGACAAGGAGCCCUCUGAAAUCAGAGCCUUCGGAUGAAAGUGACACUAACAAAAAGCCCAAACAAACAAGCAGAAAAAAGAAGAAAGAGAAAAAGAAGAAAAGGAAGCAUCACCACAAGAAAACCAGGAGAAAACAUGGGCGGUCCAGUAGCAGUGGGUCUGAGCCAGAUAGUGAUUCUGAAAAGGAUAAAGCUUCCAGAAGCAUUAGAGACAGUAAAAAGGAAUCCGAGAAACCAAACCGAGAAGGGAACGCCGUCGCUGAUACUGGGCACCGCUGCGUCUGGCUUGAGGACGUUCAGGCUCUCACAGGGGAAACCUUCAGAACAGAUAAGAAACCGGAUCCUGCAAACUGGGAGUAUAAGUCUCUCUACCGAGGAGAUAUAGCAAGAUACAAGAGGAAAGGAGACUCCUGCCUUGGCAUUAACCCCAAGAAGCAGUGCAUAUCCUGGGAGGGGGCUGCCACAGAAAAGAAGCACUCACACAAGCAUGUCGAGCGCUAUUUCACGAAGAAGAGCGUGGGACUGAUGAACAUUGACGGAGUCGCCGUUGGCGGUAAAACCGAACCUCCCUCAUCUGAGCCGGUCUCAUUUAUCCCAGUGAAGGGCUCGGAUGAUGUGGUUCCUCCUGUUACGACCUGGUUGAACCCUCUGGGGAUUUACGAUCAGUCCACCACGCAGUGGUUACAAGGACAGGGUCCUUCAGAGCAAGAAUCAAAGCAGCCAGACUCACAGACAGACAGAGAGCAUGCCCUGCUCAAGGCCAAAGUGGAGGAGUUUAACAGGAGAGUUCGGGAGAAUCCCCGGGAUAUUCAGCUGUGGAUGGCAUUUGUUGCUUUUCAGGACGAGGUCAUGAAGAGCCCUGGCCUGUAUGCCAUCGAGGAAGGAGAGCAGGAAAAGCGGAAGCGGUCUCUGAGGCUCGUUCUGGAGAAGAAGCUGGCCAUCCUGGAGCGGGCCAUCGAAAGCAACCAGAGCAGCGUGGACCUGAAACUCGCCAAGCUGAAGCUCUGCUCCGAGUUCUGGGAGCCCUCCGCCCUGGCCAAAGAGUGGCAGAAACUGAUCUUUCUGCAUCCCAACGAUACAGCCCUGUGGCAGAAAUACCUUUUAUUUUGCCAGAGCCAGUUUAGCACCUUUACGGUGUCAAAAAUUCACGGUCUGUACGGCAAGUGCUUGAGCACCUUGUCUGCUGUGAAGGACGGCAGCAUCUUAUCGCACCCCGCCCUGCCGGGCACCGAGGACGCCAUGUUUGCUCUCUUUCUUCAGCAAUGCCACUUCCUGCGGCAGGCUGGUCACUCUGAGAAGGCGGUCUCUCUGUUCCAGGCCAUGGUCGACUUCACCUUCUUCAAACCCGACAGUGUGAAAGACCUGCCCACCAAAGGACAGGUGGAAUUCUUUGAGCCCUUCUGGGACAGUGGGGAGCCCCGGGUUGGCGAGAAGGGCGCCCGAGGCUGGAGAGCGUGGAUGCACCAGCAGGAGCGGGGCGGCUGGGUGGUCAUCAGUCCAGAUGAUGAUGACGAUGAGCCAGAAGAUGAGGACCAGGAAAUAAGAGAGAAGAGUCUGCCCAGGUGGCAGAUCUGGCUUGCCACCGAGCGGUCCCGAGACCAGAGGCACUGGCGGCCGUGGCGCCCUGAUAAGACCAAGAAGCAAACCGAGGAAGACUGUGAGGAUCCAGAGAGACAGGUGCUGUUUGAUGACAUUGCCCAGUCUAUGAUCCGUCUUUCCAGCCAGGAUCUUCAGUUUCAGCUGGUUGCGGCCUUUCUGCAGUUCCUGGGCGUGCCUUCUGGCCUCAGCCCUCCAGCCUCCUGCCUCUACCUGGCCAUGGAUGAGAACAGCAUCUUCGAUGACGGGCUUCAUGACGAAAUGCCACUGACUUUCCUCAACCUUUCCUUUUCCGGUGUCAGCUGUGUUGGCUGCUCAGACCCACUGGGCCGCCGGCGCUGGACCCGGGGUCACAAUCGAGAGGGCGAGGAGUUCAUCCGCAACAUCUUUCACCUUGUGAUGCCUUUGUUUUCAGGCCGGGAGAGGUCUCAGCUCUGCUUCUCUUGGUUACGGUACGAGAUCGAGAAGGUCAUUUGGUGUCUGCACACUAAAAACAAGAAGAGGCUAAAGUCACAGGGAAAGAACUGCAAGAAACUAGCCAAAAAUCUCCUGAAGGAGCCAGAAAACCGCAACAAUUUUUGCCUCUGGAAGCAGUACGCACAUCUGGAGUGGCUGCUCGGCAACACCGAGGACGCCAGGAAGGUGUUCGAUGCGGCGCUCAGCAUGGCGGGGGGCAGAGACCUGAGGGACCGUGAGCUGUGUGAGCUCGGCCUCCUCUACGCCGGGCUGGAGGCGGAGCUGUUGCCGGACCCGAGAGGGGCCGCCGCGGCGCGAGCCGUUCACGUACUGACCAGGCUGACGGAGCAGGGGCCCUGCGGGCCCUACUCCGGGCAGGCGCUGGCCGUUCACAUCUUGAAAGCUCGGAAGGCGUACGAACACGCGCUGCAGGACUGUUUGGGCGACGGCUGUGUGUCCGCUCCGGCUCCCAGCGACUCCUUCGACCGCCUGACUAGCCUGGUGAAAUGCUUCAUGCUCUUUCAGUACUUGACCGUAGGGAUCGACGCGGCCGUGCGGGUGUACGAGCAGGUGCUCGCAAAACUGAAGGGCUCUGUUCCCCCAGGGGGCUCUGGCCCGGAGGACGGUGCCCGCGCCCAGGGCCCCCACGGCGCGCUGGAGGCCGUGACGCUGAUGCACACGAGCCUGCUCAGGUUCCACACGAAAGUCAGCCUUUACCCCCUGGCUCCUCUGCGACAGGCUCUCUCCGAGGCGUUAAGGUUGUACCCAGGCAACCAGGUGCUUUGGCGGGCAUACGUGCAGAUUCAGAGCAGGUCCCACACAGCCAGUGAGACCAGAAGAUUUUUCGACGCGGUCACCAGGUCUACCAAACUCUUGGAGCCUUGGUUGUUUGCGAUCGAGGCCGAGAAAAUGAGGAAGAGACUGGUGGAAAGUGUUCACAGGGUAGAUGGUAGAGAGGUCCACGCCACAAUUCCCGAGACCGGCUUGACACAUCGCAUCAGAGCCCUGUUUGAAAAUGCGUUGCGGAGCGACAACGGCAGCCAGUGCCCCUUACUGUGGAGGAUGUACCUGAAUUUUUUGGUUUCCUUAGGAAACAAAGAAAGGAGCAAAGGCGUGUUCUACAAAGCACUUCAGAAUUGUCCCUGGGCGAAGGUGCUGUACCUGGACGCCGUGGAGCACUUCCCCGAAGAGAUGCAAGAGGUCCUGGACCUGAUGACGGAGAAGGAGCUCCGGGUGCGCCUGCCCGUCGAGGAGCUGGCGCUUCUGCUGGAGGACUAGACCAGGAGGGAACGGGCCCUGCCUUCCGGGCCUCUCGCCUGCCCCGCCCCCGACCCCCCCCACCGGAGCCGGGAUGCGCAGGACGGGGAUGCGUGUGUGUGAGCAUGUGUCACGAGACCUCCACUUUUCAAGUUUCUUAAUUCUUAGUAAUUUGGGUCUGGGUUAUCAGUCUUUUACCUCUUGCACAUUGUUUGGAUGUGUGAAGGACACAAAACCAUUGUUUACAUAUUGUAUAUGUGAAUGUGUGUACGUAGGGAAUAAUCCUGCCAAGUGAAAACUAAACCCGUCGUGGCUGGUGUGCGGGAGGUCUGUUCCACUCCUCUGCCUGGCCGUGAACGUUCCCCACUGGCACCCUUGGUGGUCCUGCCGUCGUGGUAGGAAAGGUCUGGUUUCUGAGCACUCGGACCUCUCCCCGCAGCUGGUGAGGAGAGCAGCUUUUGCCCUUAAGAGCCGUUUAAAACUUGGUGUUCUGGCCUCGCUCCCAUUUUAAAAGUUUCUCAUUAUUUGCUAGGCUCUUGAUGCCACCUCCCUUCUGUGGACCAGGAGCAUCACCUGGGGGCUUGUUAGAGAUGCAGCCUCUGGGCCCACCUCAGCCCUUCUGAGUCAGGGCCUGCACUUGAACAGGACCCCCUGGGGACUCAGGUGCACCAAGUGUGGGGGGCACUGCCCAAAGGACCCCUGCGGCAGGGGAGUGUGCAGGCGGCCAUCUGAGAAGUGCAGAGUGGAGCCAGCGCCUUCCCACCAAACCCACCCCUGCCUGGGGGCUGUGACACAGAGGCCCAGACCCAGACCUGCCAGGCCACAUUCUUGUUUUGAUUUCUGAGGGUAUGAAUGGAACGAAACGUAAAUAUCCACAUUCAGACCACUUUCUUCCGAAAAGGACACGCCUUGCAGUCAUUAUUCAGGACACUGAACUGGGAGGAAAUUGCUCUAUCUUCCCUGAGGUCCUGCUCUAAGAGAAACGCGGACAGCUGCUGCCUCUAUCCUGAUCUCUAGAAGGGCUGAAGUUGUAUUUCUUUGGCAUCUCAUCCAGAGAAGCCCGUGUCGUGGAAGAGAAUCUUGCCUAGAAACCAGCGGACACUGGUGGGGGAGAAGGGCGGUGGGUCAGGGCACCCGAGGAAGGUGGCUGGCCAGCCAAGUGGACGCUUGCCUCGAUCUGCCCCGCUUCCUUCGCGGCUUCAAGACUGAACUGUUCAAGAGAGGGGAGAAGUGCCGGAAAUGGAUGAAGAAAGGGAGCCACGUUCCCGGGCCACAGAUGCCGUUACACCUGGAAACUUCGCGGCAACAGAACACACGUCCAGUUCACCUACCUACACUGAGGAGAGAGCUUGCGUUCUGGCUAAAUGGAAAUCUCCCCAUUUACUGCAUUUAUUGUCUCGCAACACUUGCCAAAAGUAAAACAACCCACACAACAUGAUGUGAUAAAACCACAAUCUCAGCACUAAGUUUCUAUCUGGUUGUGACCCUCAGGAUAUUUCAAAUGGUUCAGCAAAAAAGAAAGUGAACAGAAUGAUAAAGCAAAGAGGUAAAACGGUAACACUUGGUGAACUGAGGUGAUGGGUAUGUGGGCAUUUACUAUUGUUGCAACUUUUCUGAAGACUUCAAAUUUCCCAAAAUACAAAGUUGGUGCAAAAUUUAAAAACUCUCUUUAAAUUGAAGUUACCGACAAAGACACUAACCUAGUUCUACAGAUGCCAACGAUACGCAGUUCAGUGCAGGCACCGGCGUGAAAAGGCCCCACACACGCCGUCCCUACCUGACCAUGGCACUUACCCCUACCUGAAACCCAGGUCCUCACAUACAAAGCAGGCUGGCCCCACACUCAGUGCUGCCGAGCCUCGCCCUAAUUCUGGUCAUCAGGGAAGAAACGUCCUCACGCGCACACACAACCAAGAGGUACAGUCCAGCCCAGGUUCUCACCUUGAUGUCGGCCCCAGAGAGGUCAUCUUUAGCCAUGAUCAAGUCGUCCAAGGUCACAUCAUCGGCCAGCGUCAUCCUGCUUGUGUGGAUCUGAAAGAUGCGCCUCUUGGUCUUUUCAUCGGGCAGGGGGAACUCAAUUUUCCUGUCAAUGCGGCCUGCGGGUAUAAAAGGUUUCCAGUCACACCCCUGUGGCUCCCCCAGGCUCCGCUGUGGCUCGGGAAGCCUGUCUCCUCACACCUGCAGUUUCAGAGGGAAACUUCCCUUGUGGGAAGGGUCCAAAUCUUGAAAAGUGAACACUACUCUUUGUAAAUAUCCACGUUUGAAUUCAUCCCGUUUAAAAGAAAUCCUCUCUCCUCUGGUACCUUCAGAAACACACAAACUAGCUACUGCUGCUUUUGGUGCUACCCGAAUGCGAAAUUAACUGGAGCUACCAUAGGAGCUAUUUCUUCAGAAAAAAGACUAUUCAUUACGGGAAAGAGAAACGGUCACAACUUAAGACUGCGAUGAAAAGGGCCACGCUACGCCUACUACAUCAUGCUCUUAGCCAUUACCUCAGUGGAACGCAGCUUUUGGGAAGUUAUUCUACACUUCAAUAAUGUAUUUGCCUUGAUGUGUAUCAUUUUUAAAUCCCCUGAAAGUGCACUUAAACACGAACACGUAUAAACACACUCAUUCUCCAUGAUGGGACAAACGCAAAUCUGACCUGGUCUGAUAAGUGCUGGAUCCAAAGUUUCUAUUCGGUUUGUGGCCAUGAUAACUUUCACGUCACCCCUUGAAUCAAAUCCAUCCAACUGGUUCAACAGUUCCAACAUUGUUCGCUGGAUUUCUCUUUCACCACCGGAAUUUGAAUCGUAUCUUUGAAAAAGAAGAGAAGGGAUGAAAACCGAACUGAUCUGCUGAAGGGGAAUUAUAAAAACACCUCUGAUGCCCUCAAUUCUGGCAACAAAAUCAGCACAGCCUCCCAGCCACCACAUAAUCUUACUUAAACUGUAGAUGUUUUCGUGCCUGAGAUGGCAUCAUUAAUUCAGAUUGCACGUUUGGUAUCUGAGCCCCCGACCCAACCAUGAGCUCCUGGAAAGCCUUGUGACAAUGGCUGUGUCCCCAGAGUGCAGAUGAUGCCUGGCUCAGAGUAGAAACUCAAGGCAUGGCUGCACACUAAUCUCCAGAUGGUCACGACUCCCGGGUGGUUGUCACCUGGCACCCAGGAGCAGAGCCUAAAGCAUCCACAGCCACGUACAGAAGGAGCCAAGGCAAACCCAUGUGCAAGCCACACAGGCAGUGCUCCGUGAUCAUUCUCAGACAAGAGCUACGAGGUCUUUACCUAUAAAGGACACACAGAGAAAAAUGUACCUUUUUGUUCCAAUGGCAUCAAUUUCAUCAAUAAACACGAUGGAUGGCGCGUGUUCUUCUGCAACUCGAAAUAACUCCCGAACGAGUUUGGGCCCAUCACCUAGGUACUUCUGAAUAAGUUCAGAGCCAACCACUCUUAGGAAAGUGGCUGAGGUUUGGUUUGCUACUGCUUUGGCUAAUAAGGUUUUACCUAUUUUAGGUUAGAAAAAGAAAGACAAAGUGAAAAAACCCUCAAGUGCUGUCUUAACUCGAAAACCCUGUCACUACCACCUAAAACGGGCAUAAAAAACGGGCAGAUCCCUCCGAUGAAAAGGCAUGCCACCAUUCCAGUGUCUUGACAUUACGUUCUCCAAGGCAGAUAAGAGGAAAUUCAGAAUGUUCUGAUUAUUUUUAACCAUCUUCCUAAAGUCAUCAUCAUAGUGUCAGAAAAUACACUUUACUGGGUUAUUCAAACUUGCAUAGAAUAUUAUUAACCCGACGCAUGCCACCAGGGUUUGGGAUCCAAACUCUGUGAAACAAUCAGUGAUGGAAAAACAGCCUGAGAACCCUAGGUCUGACCUAAGGAAACACUCUUUAGCACUAGGCCUGCAGCCCCCGGGGCCACCCGAGGCGUCGUGGCUGUGCUGGCUGGGCUUCCCCGAGGCUCAGCUGCGACGGGGCCAGCUCCCAGUGAAACCCACAAAUGAUAGCUCUUCAGACUUUUCUCAGUCUCUGUUGUGUCCUUGUGAGGAACUUCCUCUCUCCAAUCUCAGGGAAGAUCUCAAACAUUUCCAGUCCUGCCCCGUUCCUUGAGAUUUCUAUUUCAGGUCAAAAACAAGAGAUCUGGCAGCCAUUUUGUGAACUUUAGGGCUGGAAGACCUUGGCCCCUUUGAUGGUGAGUGAGGACAGGGGCACAGGGCCAAGCAGGAGCAUCAGGACACGGUGGCAGUUAGAGCAGGGCUGGUAAAGGACCAACCUUAGGCCCGCGGGGGAAGGGGAGGAGGCUGCCGGGGAGUAACACGGAAGACUUAGUUCAAAUGGGAAGAAGGACGAGGCGCUAAGCUUUACUACAACAUGUGGCCACGACAUCCUUGUGGUGAGACAGACAGAGGGCUGGGUGUGAAGGCUUAAAGUGCGGAGACUCCCCGAGAGAACCGACUAGGGCUGGUGAACAGAAGACAAAAAGGACCUUUCUAAGUGGGUGGCAUCUUUCAGUCCAGAAGCGGCCAAGGCCAGCUGCUGUGGCACUGCAGUAGCCAGAGGGCUCACCGAACCGGCUUCUUCCUCCUCCUGUCAGGCCCACCACCCUGUGCUUCACCCCAGCUCCUCAGAUCAGUCCCCAGCAGUGCACAUGCACCAAAGGAGGCCUCUCUUCCAGCCUCAGCCCUGUUGCCAGCUCACUCCCAGAGCGACCGCGGCCUUGGGCUAGUGGUCACUGGCCUCUCUGACACUUGAUUUCCUGGGCUGUAAGAGGACAGGCUGCAGAAGCUCCAUGCCUCCGGAGCUCGUCUCCACUUGUCUCCCAGACCCUCCACUGUGGGCAGUCCCCAGUCCUCUCAGGAUCCUCCUGGGAACGUGGUUUCAAUUCAUUCAAAUAACUGUGCUUCCUCUGGAAUUUACACAGCGAUGUACUGCUAAGUCCUGGACUGUACAACUUACUCAGGUCAACUAGUCACACGGUGAACCAAAUAUAUGUGUUUUUAUCUUCA